rnacentral:lncRNA from 1 species
AAGCAUGUUAAGAAGCUUAAGUGGCUUAUCCGUUCCCAGCUCCCGACUCGAGCAGAAGCACGGAGUCUUUCCAUAGAUGACGUGGCUAUUGUCCUAGAUGACCUCCAGUUGCCUCCUUUUCUCGAGGACUUACUAAAGAAAGGCCCCUCAUGUGCACUUAACAUCAUUGGAGCCUACGAUGAUAUGAUACUGCCCUUUGAGGGACUUUUAACUGAUAUGCAUGAGCUGGAUAGGAAGAGAUAUAGAUGGAAGUUUGUUGAACAGGCUAAAAAGCACCAUAUGAUAUAUAAGAGCCAACCAAGCAAGGAAACCGUUAGAAGGGCACGCUUAUGGAUGUAUGACAACGAUGUAACCCUCACUAGGGAUGACAAAUCCAAGAAAGUAGUGCUGCUGGAAAGAAAAUCUUAUGAGGAG